rnacentral:rRNA from 1 species
CUGGCUCAGGAUGAACGCUAGCGACAGGCUUAACACAUGCAAGUCGAGGGGCAGCAUAGAAGUAGCAAUACUUGGUGGCGACCGGCGCACGGGUGAGUAACGCGUAUGCAACCUACCUAUCAGAGGGGAAUAACCCGGCGAAAGUCGGGCUAAUACCGCAUAAAACAGGGGCACCGCAUGGUGAUAUUUGUUAAAGAAAUUCGCUGAUAGAUGGGCAUGCGUUCCAUUAGGUAGUUGGUGAGGUAACGGCUCACCAAGCCGACGAUGGAUAGGGGAACUGAGAGGUUGGUCCCCCACACUGGUACUGAGACACGGACCAGACUCCUACGGGAGGCAGCAGUGAGGAAUAUUGGUCAAUGGGCGGGAGCCUGAACCAGCCAAGUCGCGUGAAGGAAGAAGGAUCUAUGGUUCGUAAACUUCUUUUGCAGGGGAAUAAAGUGCAGGACGUGUCCUGUUUUGUAUGUACCCUGAGAAUAAGGAUCGGCUAACUCCGUGCCAGCCGCGGC